rnacentral:rRNA from 1 species
AGUGAACGCUGGCGGUAGGCCUAACACAUGCAAGUCGAACGGCAGCACAGUAAGCUCUUGCUCUUACGGGUGGCGAGUGGCGGACGGGUGAGGCAUACAUCGGAAUCUACUUUUUCGUGGGGGAUAACGUAGGGCAACUUACGCUAAUACCGCAUACGUCCUACGGCUUAAAGCAGUAGUUCUUCGCACCUUUCGCGAUUCAUUGAGCCGAGGCCGGAUUAGCUAGUUGGGUGGGUAAAGGCCCACCAAGGCGACGAUCCGUAGCGGGCCUGAGAGGAUGAUCAGCCACACUGGAACUGAGACACGGUCCAGACUCCUACGGGAGGCAGCAGUAGGGAAUAUUCGGCAAUGGGCGCAAGCCUGAUCGAGCAACACCGCGUGGGUGAAGAAGGCCUUCGGGUCGUAAAGCCCUGUUGUUGGGAAAGAAAAGCAGCAGGUGAAUACCCCGCUGUUCUGACGGUACCUAAAGAAAAAGCACCGGCUAACUUCGUG